rnacentral:sRNA from 1 species
CAACCUCUCCCCCGGCACCCCCGCCGCCACCUUCCUGAGAAACCCGGAGAAGGAGGGGGCAGGGAGGCGGGGACCCCGAGAGGUACAGUGCACACGUAGACCCUUGGAAAAGGUUGUUCAAUGACUACAUGAAUCAAUAGAGAAAAGCAAAGGACAGAGCGCGUCAGUGAGAAAAUCAAACGAACAACGAAGAAAAGUCCGCGCCAGCUCUGCAAGAAAGGAAGUGACGUCAUAAGGCUGGUGUUGGGCAAAUCAGAACUUUCCAUGUAGGAAAAAUAGUUGAGUUUAAAGUGUUUUUGUUCAUGUCUCUAGAAAUAUAAGACUGUUUUACCAAAUCAUUUUCUCAGCAAGAGACUGAAUACUGACUAUACAGUGUCUGGCCCAUUUGAAGGCUUUUCUCUGGGAAUACAGUAGGACUCCAAAUGAAAAGAAGCCUGAGUAAAAUUCACCCCGAAAUAUUUACCGUUUGUCAAGAUACAGUCUCAAAAGGGACCCAUGGAUAUGUCUUUUUGUGAAACAUUCAAAAUAAAUGUAAGAAUGAU